rnacentral:rRNA from 1 species
UACGUAGGUGACCAGCGUUGCCCGGAUUUACUGGGCGUAAAGAGCGCGCAGGCGGUCGUUCAAGUCGAGUGUGAAAGCCCCCGGCUCAACUGGGGAGGGUCAUUCGAUACUGAUCGACUUGAAGGCAGGAGAGGGAAGUGGAAUUCCCGGUGUAGUGGUGAAAUGCGUAGAUAUCGGGAGGAACACCAGUGGCGAAGGCGACUUCCUGGCCUGUUCUUGACGCUGAGGCGCGAAAGCUAGGGGAGCAAACGGG